rnacentral:rRNA from 1 species
AGUGAACGCUGGCGGCAGGCCUAACACAUGCAAAUCGAACGGCAGCACAGAGGAGCUUGCUCCUUGGGUGGCGAGUGGCGGACGGGUGAGGAAUACAUCGGAAUCUGCCUAUUUGUGGGGGAUAACGUAGGGAAACUUACGCUAAAACCGCAUACGACCUACGGGUGAAAGCGGAGGACCUUCGGGCUUCGCGCAGAUAGAUAAGCCGAUGUCGGAUUAGCUAGUUGGCGGGGUAAAGGCCCACCAAGGCGACGAUCCGUAGCUGGUCUGAGAGGAUGAUCAGCCACACUGGAACUGAGACACGGUCCAGACUCCUACGGGAGGCAGCAGUGGGGAAUAUUGGACAAUGGGCGCAAGCCUGAUCCAGCCAUGCCGCGUGGGUGAAGAAGGCCUUCGGGUUGUAAAGCCCUUUUGUUGGGAAAGAAAAGCAGUCGGUUAAUACCCGAUUGUUCUGACGGUACCCAAAGAAUAAGCACCGGCUAACUUCGUGCCAGCCGCCGCCGUAACAC